AACCACUGAGCCAUCUCUCCAGCCCCUAACUCUUUAUUCUAUAUAUUUAACCCAAACUUUCCUGAAUUCCCUCGUCCUCAAGAAAUCCACUCUCACCACACCAUCUUGUAUCAUUGACAGCACAUUCCUGGGAUAGCUGAAAACUUACUUCAAUUAUUAUCUUUACCUGGAAAGAAUCAAACCCCUGUAUGAACUUCUGAAACUACAAAUUCAAACAGAGAAACAAAGGACCCCAGAAAAUGCAAGCCGAAGACGCCAAAGCUGCUAUUGUACACCUGUGAGAACAAUCCAUAAAGCACUUCCACCUAAACCAGCUAGCCACCCUUUGAACUUUCCAGUGUUGCAAACCAACACGUGAUAGCACUCUGCCAGAGCAUGACUUCAGGUACUUCUCAAGGAGACUUCAGAAAAAGGGUAUUUUAACGAACUUUGAGCCUUUGAAAAAUAACCAGAUUUUGGUCUGAGGCUGGGACCUACCCCUCCCAGUAGGAUGGUAUUAACUCUUCUAAAUUUUCAAGUUUAUUUAUGCUCUCAGGAAAAUCUUUUUAAAGACCCAAAGAAUAACAGGUGGCCUGAAAACAGCAUUAAGUCUUUCAGACUGUCAACAUAGUAUAAACGAAGAACUCUCAAAAUACAGUAAUAUCAAUUCAGGAAAAGCAGAAAAACAUGCAAAAUACACUCAGGGAUGACAGUGGAGAUCACCUUAAGUUUGAGGCUCCAUUGGGCCACCUAUCUAGUUCCAGUCCAGGCUUUAAAAAGAGAAGCAAGGGGAAGAGGAUGUAUUGACUAUUUUCCAUCCAGGGGAAAGCUGGGAAAACUUAAUCAAACCACAGAAACUGAGUGUCCGCAAGUCUGGGGCUGCUCAGAGCACUAUGGUCAGGUGAUUUAUCUGAGAAGACCUUGGCAGCUCCCGUCCAUGCUCAUAACACAAGCACCGUCAGCACACGUCUACCACCAAGGUAACGACAGUGAACUUAAAAAAGAACUCUUACUGCCAAAGGUGGAUAGAGUAGCUGUCACUCACUGGCUGUGUGACCUUGAACAACUCUGAACAAAUGUCAAUUUCUCUGCGUUACAGCCAUCUAUAAAAUAGGGGUGAAUACCUGUCCCAAAGGGCUGUGGUACAGACUAAGGAGACAACUCGGAUACUUAGAACAGAACCUCAGGAAUGUUAAUUAUCAACUAUCAUGCUUUAAACACACCACUCCAGAUUCACAAGCUCUUGUGCAUUUCUAUUUUCGCCUUUAUUUCCAAGUAUCUACUGGCACUUGUGUGUGGUAAGGCAUAUGUGGGGGUGGGGGUGGGGGUGGGUUUGCGGUAUUUAUGGUUCUUCCUCUACCUUUUAUAAAUUCCAAACCUCCUAUAAUUCAAUGUAGAGCAACUCAACCUAUCUGCUGUAUCAGUUACAGAGCCAAACAAUUCACAAGUUUUAAAAUGCACACUGUCUCAGUCAUGUGAUGAGACCUAACUCUCUCUGUUGUCCUACAAAUCCAUGCUGUACAUGACACUGGGGGACAUCAGUCACCUGGCAGCCUCUGCUUAUCAGACUGCUAUGAUGUGGCAGUGUGCUGUUAGGUAGCCCUUACUUUACUUCACAAUGGACCUGACACCCAGGAGCAGAGAAUGCCAGCAAUGCUGUGGGCAUGUGGGGAAGCUCCAACGAGCUCCCUCCAGUGAAAGGAGAGGAAGAGUGUACGCUAAGGAUCAUAAAGCCGACAGUGAAAAGAAACCUUCCACCCAAGACUGUGAAGGAACCAUUAGUUUUGCUGCCGUAUCAAUUUCAAAAGCCAUAGUCGCACUGAUAAGUGACUAGGUGAGAUGAAAAAGGGAUCACAUCACGGGAAUGUGUGUGUCUGCACAGGAAAAACAGAGCUACCUUAUUCCCAAAGGAUGAAGAAAUCACCUAAAAUUUCUAACUUCAAAAGUACAGUGUUCUGUUAAUUUAAUCAGCACUCAAAAUUUUUACUUAAACAUUUGUGAACUUUUGAGGAAAAAAAAGGAAAUUUCAUGAACAAAUUGAAUGUUCAGUAAUUAUCUCAUCUCUAUUUUUAGUAAGCUCUAAGAGUUUAAGUAUAGUUGUUAAUGGGUGAAAACACUUAAGCAGUCAGUAGUUGUUCAUGAAGCAAACUGCAGAGCUCCUGGUACCGAGUGGCUGGAGCAUCAAGCAGCAUCGCCAAGAGUCAUUUAUAGGCAGGUGCUAUAAAUAACUGCCCACCUUACAGGAAGAUAAACAGUAGAAUGGGAUCCUGUCUUGCCAGCCUUUGCCCAUCAGGUGCAAAACUACAUUCAUUCCUUCAGGAAUUCCAAAUCACGACUUACACUUGCCUUUGAUGACUUCAUUUGCAUAUCCCCUGUAACUAAACCAUACUGCGGUGUCUCCACUGACUGACAGGUUACCGUCAAUGGUUUACUAUAUACCCAGGCAUGACAUUACUAGACCUUUUUUGCAUCAUCUCAGGUAAUUAAUUCUUUUAAUAGAAAUGUAAUAAAAGUUAAAAUGCCAAGGUUAAAUUCAGGCUUGGCAGACUUGGCGAUGUGUACUUACAAGCCUGGAACUUGGGAGACUGAGUCAGGAGAAUGAGUCUGAAUAAGUAAACGAUGCAAAAAGCAAGACCCUGCCUCAAAACAAUUUAAAAUAAAAAAGGGUUGGGACUGUCCUCAAGGACAUAGCAUGCCCUGGGUUCAACUCUACCGGUGUUUUGGCUGAAAUCACUCUUUUCAGUGACGGAAUGCUUUCGAACAACAGUCACGCACUUUAAUUCAUUGCUGGCAGUAAGGCUGGCACCCACUUACAGUCAUUUAUGAAUAAAACUAGAAUGCUCCUGAGAAGAUAAUGACUUUGACACAGACAAAGACACACACACACACACACACACACACACACACACACACACAAACACACAACAACAACAACAACAACAAAACCAAAACAACUGAGUCCACUUAGCCGGCCUUACAUCACGCUCACAUUGAACAAAAGCAAACUGAAGCGACCACAGGCAUGGCCUGAAGCAGACUGCAAGCAGCCUGUAAGUGGAAAAGGCUGCAUGUACUGCAAAAUUAAACACACGUGCAUGGCUUGUGUCAAAUAAACUCCAAGGACUAAGUAGCCAAGGAUGAUGAUUCAUCCUUAAAAAUAUAACUAAUGAACAAAGGGAUUGGAGUAAAAAGGUUUUGGACCUGUUGAAAGCAUAUAUUUUGCACAACUAUCUGAAAGCAAUUCUUAUAUAAAUAUGACAAUUUGGAAUAAUCAGGGAAGAGACUAAUUUCCUCAUUCUGAGUCUAGGAAAUCUAAGUAUAGAGUUUGCUUUCAGGUAAUGAACUGCAACUAUGAGUUUGUUUUAAAAUGCACCAAAAAUUAAGACGGAUUGAUGGAUGGAUAAAAACUGUCACAGAACAAUGACAGGAAGAUAUUAACUGCAACAUGCUGGAGGGAGGCUGAUAAUGUCUGACACAAAGCUCACCAACCUGGCAGGGAGUGACACGUGCAGUGUGCUAAGGAGAAGCUUUGAGUCUGCCUUGCUUUCCUGAGGAAGCUUUCCUACAGUGGAGUGGUCACCAUUUCCCACGAGGCACACCCUCCAUGGCAGACCGUCAUAGCACUGAAGCUAACUGGAAAAGGUGCUACAGUUUAUCUCAAACGUAUCCACUGCCACUCAGGAAGCAAAUAACUAAAGGAGAAUCCUAAACACUGGCUUCUUAGAAACCUAAUUUUCACAACUGGAUCUGAAAUCUAUAGUAAUUAUAAUUAGUUUAGUACUUUUUGAAAACAAAAGGUUAAAAAAUGGCUAAGGACAUUAAUUUUUACCCAGAUUAAAAAGCUACAUCUAAGCUGUUUUAGAUAAAAUGUGCUGUUGUACCGAGGAAACCUGCUAUGUGACCUUUAAUCCAGGUUUUGCUUUGUUGUCUUGUUUUUAGUCAAGGUCUCAUUAAGUUACCUAGGCUGCCUUCAAACUCUUCGAAUCAGGUGACCCUCCAGCCUCAGUCGUCCCCACAGCUGGGACAGGACAGAAGGACAGCACCCAGGUCACUUUUGUUUUGUUUUAAUGUGUGACUAAGUCCAAGUUAAAGUAUUUUCUUCAAAAAGAACAGAUCAGUAUGUGUACUGUAUAUGAUACCUACAAUAACCUUAAAAUAGGAUGAAGCCUAUGCUAUGGUUUCAGGGUACCUCACUCCACACCCCCGUGACUUGAAGAGUUUAAACCCCUAGAGAAAAACACUGUCAUGAAAUAGGGAAGCAGGUAGUCACAUCAUGUCUGACUGACGAUCAUACACCCCAGUAAGUGUCCAGAAGUUACAGUACGGUCGCUAGUGCAUUGUUUACCACAUCAAUAGUAAUAAUCUCAGCUCUGCCCCACUCUCUCUUAAAAAAUCAAGACAACUAGGAAUUUCUUAAUGAAAUAAAGAGGGGUUAAAAUACAACCCCAAAUCUAAGUUAAUCUCAAUGGGGGAGGUAGUGGCGAGAGCAGUUGUGUGUGCAGUACACAAGUCCGUGUGUGGGAGUCGAAGGUCAAGCUCCAUAGCUGUUAGUCAGAAACUGCCCCCCCCUUUAAAAACUGGAGCCCGGUUUCUCAGUGGCCUGAAACACCGGUUACUCUAAGCUGGUGUGUGAGAAAGCCCAGGCCACAUUUGCCUCCACCUCCACAGCGCUCAGACUCUAGGUGCUGCACACCUGCCCGCCUUUUAAACAGGUUCUGGGCAUCAACCUGGCAGCUCACAUUGUGCCCAGCUACCUCCCAACCCCACAGCAGUUGACUUUAUUGUCUUUCCUGCACAGCAGUAUAACUCAGAUGCCCAGCUGAGGGAGAUCUAUUUUAAUCAUGCAUAUGUUGAUUCCAACUGAAACAUCUAUCUCUCCUAUUUUAGUCAGACAUGCUGAUUCCAUCUGAGAGAACAUUUCAUUUCUAGAUAGAUACAUCUAUUAUUUUAAAAAAUAAAUUUUCAUGUAAGAUGUAUUGUGAUUCUGCCCUGUCCAAACUGAGAAAUUUCAUGUGAAAGAAUAUUUAUCUUUUCAGAAAUGUGCUCAAUUCUUCUCAAAUCUGUGCUGCUAACCGUUUAUAUUCUAGUUCCUACAUAGUUUUUAGAUUUCUUCAGACCGCAUUUCUAUCUCAUUGUCUCUCAAUGAGAAUACUGAUUUGCAAGGACACACUCCAGAUGUGCAAGCUCUCCCCCAUCUCGGCAGGCACUUCAAAGUUCAGCUCUACCAGGCCGAGGAGGGCCUCGCGGGCCACACAGACCUUUACUGGCUAUGAUUCAACUUGUUUUCCCUUUACCAACAGGGGCUAAUUUCUAGUUCCCUUAAUCCUGCAGAAAACAGUUUGAAUUACAUUUUACAGUUAAUACCCUUGCCUAAUAAAUACUAUUAAAACACAGGCAGUGUAAGUGGCAAAAAUCUCCUCUCAGCAAACA
rnacentral:sRNA from 1 species